UUCUACAUGGUCAGCAGAUGCUUUUCAGUCCCUUCAGACCGAAUGAGCAAAUCGUUGUGUUUGCACGAGUCUAACUAAUAGAAACAUCACGCUAAUAUUCACCUCAGCUCGACAGCGACCCGCCGUUUCAGCCUCAAUGAGGCCAUUUCACAUUCAGACACUCAGCAUAAUGAAAGGCAAUAUCUAGGAAAUCCAAUUUUAUAUCAAUUGCAGCCUUUAGAUGCAGAAUAAUAAGUAAAAAUCUAAAGGGAAAUUACGAGGCGAGGCUAUUAUAAUGCAGACAACCUCCUAGAAAGACAACUGUUUGUGUUUUUAAAGCAGUGAUAUUUCUCAAUCAGGUUUGAUUUGGUUCGUUGUUCAUGAGUUUUCUAGCAGCUUUUCUAUCAGAAUCUACUUGUAAAGCCUCGCAAGGCCACGUCAACACAAUUUCCUAAACGCAUUCAGAAUGAAAAACAUGCAUAUGAGCAUUCAAGCCGGACAAACCAAUUCAUGAAGUUCUUAAGCUCGUCCUUAAAUCCAGACUGCAGUAAAUCCCAUAUUGCAGCUCAACUGCAAACGUCGGCCUGUGUUUUCUGCUUCGUUCCGCUGCAUUUCCAUCCGCUCAUUCAUGUCUCAUCCAGGCAGUCAAAGGAUCCAUUGAUGGCUCCAUCGCUCCUCUGUGGGCUCCUGCUGCGGGUCGAGUCCCGGCGGGUGUGAAGCUUCAUCCCACAUCUGACCGCUGGACGAAGGAUCAGUCAUUCCUCAGGUGACAGAUCGACGAGUGUUACAGAGGACAGCGGGUCAGAGGUCAUCUGCUCAUGUGAUUUGAAUGACAGGAGUGCUGUGUAUAGAUAAAAGGCUGUACUUAGAGCAGCGCUGUUUAGUGACUGGGAGAAUCAGGCUGUUUAAGGCCAUGUCUGAUGCUAAAACAUGUAGAAAGGAGUGUGGAAAAGAAGUGGCCAUCUAGAUGACAGGCGACUGGUCAGGAACAGCCUAAAGAACUCCCUUAAAGGUGCAGUAAGCGAUUUCUGAGAAAAGUCGAUGAAAGUGGAUCGCACCAAAUCCCACUUGUAGCCAAUCACUAGCAAGGGGUGUGUCCACUUAUGAUGGGGGAGGUGCCUGUGUUGCAUGCAUAGGUGCUGAAAUAACCAAGCACGCACAGAAAACACCAGAACAAAGAAAGUCAUACAAGUUCGUAACGACAUGAAGGAAUGAAACUGAAGUCUGCUGAGUUAUGAAAGAGCAACUUCUGAAGAACCAAAUAUUCCUCUGGAAAACCUCUGAAGCUUCAGACAUGUUUUCCAGGUGGAUAUUCCUGGUGUUUGGUUCAGGAGUCUCCCGUCGGUUCACGUUCUUCAGGUCUCCUGACAUAAUCGCCUGUCACUUUUAUAAACAGGAGGAAAAGUACAUGUCUGUCUAACAAUGACCUGCCGUCCUCCAGCCAGCGAGUUAAUUACCAUCACUGGAAAGACAGCCAGACAACUGUCAACACAUGACUCUGCAGCGUGGAAUUAUGGGAGUGUUGAGCUCUGUUCCAAAACACAAUGAGCUGUCUACCUAGACGACGAUUUUACGCAUCAUAGGCGCCCUAACGACACAAAACCUGGUCCUGCAGCAGGCUCCCCCUCCUUCCAGCCUCCUUCUCUUCACUGUUGGCUUUAUCAAGGUCAUCUCUGCUGCUGCUCCCAUCUGCUCUGCAGCAACAGCGCCUCCGUCUGGACCAACACAGGAUGAAAAGAAGAAAAUGAAAAUCAGCGAAACGGCAGAGCUGGGGAUUCUAGCAGAAACAGGUCUGGAGGGAAAUACUGAAUUAAGUCCUGCAGGAGAAACUAAAGGAGACGAGGAGAAGAAAAAGAAGAAAGACAAAGAUGCAGCUGCAAUCACUUCAGACAGCGAGAAUGAAAAGUAGAAGAAGAAGAUGAAGAAG
ensembl:lncRNA